rnacentral:lncRNA from 1 species
UUUGUGGGAGCCAAUCCUCUCCCUGACCCUCUGUGGGACCCUGAGAUCAAACUCAGGCCUUCAGACUUGGAGGCCAGCAUCUUUACCUGCUGAGCCAUCUUGAAGAUACAAGUUGAUACAAUUUCUUGAUUUUCAACAGGAAAGGCAAACUUGUUCCCCGGGGCUUCUUCUCUCCUCCUGUCCCUCUUAUUUAUUUUUUCUAUCUUUCUGCCCUACCUCAAUCCCACAAGGAGUUCUUAAUUCAAUGGGGGAAAUGCUUGUGGAGCAGGCUGUGGGCAGAGAAGGGAGGCGAGAUGCACCAGCCCAGUCCACCAUUACUGGGGAAUCCACUCCAAACAUGGAAGGCAGUCGGGCAGGCAGAGCUGUUCCUCAGGACUGAGAAAGGGCUCCCAUUCUGUCUUUAUAGAUUGCGACUUCCUGGCACUGGGUCUGGAACACUUGAGUCCUGUUCCCUGUGUGGUGUUCUCUAUCCUCUGAGAGAGCUUC